rnacentral:lncRNA from 1 species
UUUUAAAAUUCUUUUUCACUCUUCUUUGCAAUCGAUGGUGAAGAUUUCAACCGACCAAGAUAUCAUAUGAGAGGAUCCAUUCUUCUAACAUCAAGUAUUUCACGGGUAUUCUAUAUAUAUAUAUAUUUUAUUUAUUUUUUAUCCCCAUGAGCUUAGCUCAGUUGGUAGGGAUAUAAUAUAUUAUAUGCAGGGACUAGGUUCGAACCCUGGACACUCCACUUCUCCACAAUUUAAUUGUGUGAGUUCUAGCCACUAGGCUACUUGACCAAAAAAAAAAAUUCUAUAUCUUUUUAACGGAAUUCUCGUUAAUUUCUUGUUCAAUGCAUUUAUUUUAUUUUUUAUUUUCUAAUAUCAUUCAAUGCAUUCAUUUUUACACAAAUAAUUAGACUUUCUAUAUACAUGGUUAGUAUACCAAAAUUGUGAAUGGAAAUAUUAAAAAUAUCACUAUCGCAAUUAAUUUUAUCAUUAAGAAACGUAUCAAACAAUUAUAGUAGACAUAUUACAAUAUAUAUAUUUUUAAUUAAAAAAAUAUUCAAACAUAUCCACACAAAAAUUUCAGACAACAAUUGACCGCGAAAUUCUAUAAAAUAAAAAAAGGUAAACUGUUUCGAUUGACAUGUAAUAUACAUAAAGUCAGAAAAAUGAUCCUAUAAAAAUAAAAACACAUAUUCUAACUCUUCAAUUUAAGAUUCUUCUUAUUUUUUUAUUCUCUAGUCUACUUGAAGCUUAGAAAAGUGAUAUAGAGGUUGAUUUUUUUAUUUUUUUUUUGCAGGCUUAUUUAUGACGUUAAAAUAUGAUUUUUCAUAAGAAAUUAAAAAAUUUCACUAAGGAAUGAUUAAUUGUGAAUUUUCGUUCCCCAUAAUUAAAAAUUUCUUAAACAAUUCAUUCUAAUUCAUACUUCAUUUUAAAACUCCAAAAUUUUAUGGUGAAAGUUUAUAUAAUGUUCUAACCAUGCUUACAAAAUUUGAUUUGAGUGUAUAUGCUUACUAGAAACAAAAUUGCAAUUUUGCAUAUUUUGUUUGAAAAAUUAAAAUAAAUCAAGACAUCUUAGAAAGUAUAUGAAACUUUUCAUAUCAUUUUCAUGUAUUUUAUAGAUGUCUCUGCAAACAAUCUUCACAAAAUUUUAUUUAUAGGUCAAGAUUUCCGUUGUUUUAUUUUUUGAGUUUUUGACGCAUUAAAGUGUUAGAUGAAAUGCUUGAAUGAGGUUUUCAUUGAUUUGUUUCAUUUUUUAUGUUGUGUAAAUAUGGUUGACAGACACAGGCUAGGCAAGGAGAACAUGACUGAUAGCUUACGCAUAGAGAGACAGGCGGCAAACCCUAUGCCUAAAUGGGGACAAGGGUGUAUGAAUGAUGGGGAGGGAACCUCACAGACAGGUGUGUCUCAGGUUAUUGACCUUCUCAAGACCAGUACUACGUAACAGAUGAGCAGUACUAGAAUCCUAAGGAGGAGCACUACCCUGACCCUACUCAAGAGUAGUACUAACAGAUUAAGCAUAAUCAUGAGGAGCCUGAGUAGCAUGACGCACCGACACCUAAUGUUUUUCUUGGGGGCCUUUUUUUUAUCUAACUUUAUUGUUGUCAUUCAUUAAUCAUGUUGCUUACAA